GACAGAGGGUGCAAGCGUUGUUCGGAAUUACUGGGCGUAAAGCGCGUGUAGGCGGUCUCGUAAGUCGGAUGUGAAAGCCCUGGGCUCAACCUAGGAAGUGCAUUCGAAACUUCGAGACUUGAGUCCUGGAGAGGAUCGCGGAAUUCUCGGUGUAGAGGUGAAAUUCGUAGAUAUCGAGAGGAACACCGGUGGCGAAGGCGGCGAUCUGGACAGUGACUGACGCUGAGACGCGAAAGCGUGGGGAGCAAACAGG
rnacentral:rRNA from 1 species